AACCUUUCUCGGCCUUUUGGAUAAGAUUAAGUGUAGUAUGUAUUCUUAUUAGUCUAAUAUAUGAUAUAUGGGUCAUCGACCCAUACAAUAUUUAAUUACUUUUUUAAAUGGGAGAGGCCAUUAUAGUAGCUUGCUAUUGGGUCUCUCAUGUGUGGCCUUAGUGUUGCACUAAAGCUUGGGCCAGACACACCCU
rfam:Lupinus angustifolius cultivar Tanjil chromosome LG17, whole genome shotgun sequence.